rnacentral:rRNA from 1 species
GAUGAACGCUGGCGGCGUGCCUAAUACAUGCAAGUCGAGCGAACAGAUAAUGAGCUUGCUCCUUUGACGUUAGCGGCGGACGGGUGAGUAACACGUGGGUAACCUACCUAUAAGACUGGGAUAACUUCGGGAAACCGGAGCUAAUACCGGAUAACAUUUGGAACCGCAUGGUUCUAAAGUGAAAGAUGGUUUUGCUAUCACUUAUAGAUGGACCCGCGCCGUAUUAGCUAGUUGGUAAGGUAACGGCUUACCAAGGAAACGAUACGUAGCUGACCUGAGAGGGUGAUCAGCCACACUGGAACUGAGACACGGUCCAGACUCCUACGGGAGGCAGCAGUGGGGAAUCUUCCGCAAUGGGCGCAAGCCUGACGCAGCAAGGCCGCGUGAGUGAAGAAGGGUUUCGGCUCGUAAAACUCUGUUAUUAGGAAAGAAAAACCGUGUAUGAAAACCCGCACGUCCUGACGGUACCUAAUCAGUAAGCCCCGGCUAACUACGUG